rnacentral:rRNA from 1 species
UCUACCGGGCCACGUGAUGCGGCCCACGCCGAGACCCAUUAGGGUCUCGGCCAUCUUCAAUAAGUGGCCGAGCGCCACAUUUCCCUUCAGCACUUAGAGACUUAGAGAAUGAAGAGGAUCAAGCCUAGACAUCAAGUGGACGGAUUUACAGCCCAAGACCCAGCCGAGGCCGAGGCCCAUGCAACACUCAAGGAAGCCCAAUGCAUCCUUCAAAUUUGCCCGUGUCAAAUCUUCAUGGACAAGAUGCCUUAGCUGGAAAAUAAAAACCAAGAGGAUUUGGGGGGAUUCGCACGCACAAAAUCUCAUGAUUCUCGGAGAUACGUAUCACGGCCGAGCGCACCCGAGCGCACCCACAACGCAGCGCACCCGAACCACGACGCACCUCCGGGAUCCACGUGCCAAUUCAUCCUAGACGUCCAAUUCAUCUGAUGGCUUGAGAUUACUAGUUCUCUAAAUUUUUGUUUAGUUUUGUCUAUUUAAAGAACAUUAGACCUACUUGUUUACUUAGCAAAUUUUUAUCAAUACAAGUGCUUUGAGCCUUUUUGAUAAUUCUCUCAAAUGACCUUACUUCUCUGGUGAGUCAUAUCCGGCCAAGCUUCCGUCAACCCUUGUCAAAGCCUCGGUGCAUCAUAUCCGAGUCUUCUCCAAGGUCUACCGAUUUGGAUCCUUUGAUUGCUCAAGCGUCCAAAUCGUCCAACUUCAUCUUCAUCAUCUGAUUCCUCCAUAACCCGCACCAUUCCCAAGCCAUCAUCAACCUCCCCGAUCUUCUGAUCAUAUUCACCGUGCCAUCUCACAAUUUCCAUCGUCAAGCUUCCGGAAAACCCCACAUUAUCGACCAUUCCAUCGACCAUUCACCAAACGCCCGAGCCAAUCUAUCUCGCGCUCACAUUCACCGAUCACGACGUGCAAACCACCCCGGCGUUGCACAUCAGGUCAUGGAAGUCAAAAUCCGCUAAGGAGUGUGUAACAACUCCCCUGCCAAAUCAACUAGCCCCAAAAAUGGAUGGCGUUGAAGCACGCGACCUAUACCUGGCCGUCAGGGCAAGUAUCAGGCCCUAAUGAGAAGGAGGGUGUGGCGGUUGACACAAAACCUGGGGCGCGAGCCCAGGAGGAGCGGCCAUCGGUGCAGAUCUUGGUGGUAGUAGGAAAUAUUCAAAUGAGAACUUUCAAGGCCGGAGAGGGGAAAGGUUCCAUGUAAACAACACUUGCACAUGGGUUAGUCAAUCCUAAGAGACAGGGCAAUCCUGUCUGAAUGCGCCCAGUGCAUGAGCAUCGAAAGGUUAUCGGGUUAAAAUUCCUGAACCGGGAUGUGGCGGCUGAUGGCAACGUUAGGGAGUCUAGAGACGUCAUCGGGGACCUCAGGAAGAGUUAUCUUUUCUAUUUAACAGCCUGCCCAUCCUGGAAAUGGCUCAGCCGGAGUUAGGGUCCAGCGACUGGAAGAGCACCGCACAUCACGCGGUGUCCGGCCCUUGAAAAUUCGGAGGACCUAGUGCCUCCCACGCCCGGUCGUACUCAUAACCGCAUUAGGUCUCCAAGGUGAACAGCCUCUGGUCGAUGGAACAAUGUAGGCAAGGGAAGUCGGCAAAAUGGAUCCGUAACCUCGGGAAAAGGAUUGGCUCUGAGGGCUGGGCAAGGGGGUCCCCGUCGCGUGCUGGUUGGGGGACGGACUCGGAAUGGAUCCUUCGGGGGCCUUCCCCGGGCAUCGAAUAAUCGACUCAGAACUGGUACGGACAAGGGGAAUCCGACUGAUUAAUUAAAACAAAGCAUUGCGAUGGUCCUUGCAGAUGCUCACGCAAUGUGAUUUCUUCACAGUGCUCUGAAUGUCAAAGUGAAGAAAUUCAACCAAGCGCGUGUAAACGGCGGGAGUAACUAUGACUCUCUUAAGGUAGCCAAAUGCCUCGUCAUCUAAUUAGUGACGCGCAUGAAUGGAUUAACGAGAUUCCCACUGUCGCUUUCUACUAUCCAGCAAAACCACAACCAAGGGAACGGGCUUGGCAGAAUCAGCAGGGAAAGAAGACCCUGUUGAGCUUGACUCUAGUCCGACUCUGUGAAAUGACUUGAGAGGUGUAGGAUAAGUGGGAGCCAGAAACGGCGAAAGUGAAAUACCACUACUUUUAACGUUAUUUUACAUAUUCUCUGAAUCGGAAGCGGGGCAACGCCCCUCUUUUUUGACACAAGGCCUGCCUCGGUGUAUUGAUCCUUUAGACUUUCAAUUUGAAGCUAGAGGUGUCAGAAAAGUUACCACAGGGAUAACUGGCUUGUGGCAGCCAAGCAUUUAUAGCAAUGUUGCUUUUUGAUCCUUCGAUGUCGACUCUUCCUAUAAUUGUGAAGCAGAAUUCACCAAGUGUUGGAUUGUUCACCUGCCAAUAGGGAACGCGAGCUGGGUUUAGACCGUCGUGAGAUAGGUUAGUUUUACCCUACUGAUGAUAGCGUCACAGUAGUAAUUCCACCUAGUACGGGAAGAACCGUUGCUUCGCACAGUUGGUCAUCGCGCUUGGAUGAAAAGCCAGUGGCGCGAAGCUACCGUGCGCUGGAUUAUGACUGAACGAUUCUAAGUCAAAAUCAAGGCUAGAAGAGACGCAGGCGCUAGCCGUCGGAUCGCCGACCAGCAGUAGGGGCCCUCGGCCCCCAAGGGCACGUGUCGUUGGCCAAGCCCUCGCAACCGAGCCGUUGCGCGGGCC